UGCCGGAGGACCAGGUGCCACCUUGAGAGAGGCCGUGGGCGGCGAGCCGCGGGCGUUUACUCUUAGCAGAAGCUCACCUCUGGAUGGAGGGGAAGCCAAGGACCUAGAGGAGGAUGAAGCCAUGAAGUGGAAGCCAAGGAACCUCUGCAUGAGACUGUGAUGAGAAUGCAGACCAUGGAGAAGCAGGAAUAUAUCUGUCAAAGCAGCUAGUGUUACUCUUCUAAAGGGAAUUUCAAAAAAUGUUUGAAGACAACUCAGGAAGCCAUAAAAAGUCUUUAAGAUCCCAAGCCACAGCUGUGUAUAGCACUUUCUAACUGUAAAGGUCACACUUGGGCUGACUGGGGGUGGGUGAUCCUCCGGCAAGAGGGGGAAUGAGCACAGGUUCUCUCCUAAAAUCCCCGCUGAAAUGACUCAUAGAAUAUACAAAUUGCUGGGGAAAAGUCCACAUUCAAGCUGGAAAUGUUGGGUACCAUUCAAAUACCAAAAAUGUUGGAGAUUUUGAGAUUCCACCAUAGCACUGAUGUGUGACUAUUACACAAUAACAAUGACUCAUGGAUGAGAUCAUGAAGUGAUAUUCCUUUAUUGCCCAAUAGGUCAUUAAAUUUGCUUCAUGGG